rnacentral:rRNA from 1 species
CCUACGGGUGGCAGCAGUGGGGAAUAUUGGACAAUGGGCGAAAGCCUGAUCCAGCCAUGCCGCGUGUGUGAAGAAGGCCUUCGGGUUGUAAAGCACUUUCAGUGGGGAAGAAAGCCUUGGGGCUAAUACCCUCGAGGAAGGACAUCACCCACAGAAGAAGCACCGGCUAACUCCGUGCCAGCAGCCGCGGUAAUACGGAGGGUGCGAGCGUUAAUCGGAAUUACUGGGCGUAAAGCGCGCGUAGGCGGUCUGAUAAGCCGGUUGUGAAAGCCCCGGGCUCAACCUGGGAACGGCAUCCGGAACUGUCAGGCUAGAGUGCAGGAGAGGAAGGUAGAAUUCCCGGGGUAGCGGUGAAAUGCGUAGAGAUCGGGAGGAAUACCAGUGGCGAAGGCGGCCUUCUGGACUGACACUGACGCUGAGGUGCGAAAGCGUGGGUAGCAAACAGGAUUAGAUACCCGAGUAGUC